AGCUUGUGCAAAUGAAGGAGCCUUCCCCAUGGCCCAGCCUAGUUCUCAGCUCUGGGUUUGGGGCAUAAGAUGCAUUUAAAAAAUCAGCGUUAACUGAGCCAUUCCUUUUCUUAGUUCUUUCUUUACUCAGCAACUUGAAGGAGAGAGGUGAAGGCAAGGCAGACUUGGGGCACAAUCAUAUCCGGUGGCACCUGUAUUCACCCUGAAUUCCAAUAGCAUCACCUGACCUACCAGGAUAUACAUGCCCAGUGUUUAUUCAGGGAAGAACAACGAGGCCCUGGAUAGGAUGUGAUGAAUGAAUCUUCUUAAUGAGAAGUGGAAAUCAUUUGUGGUUGAGAGCUGUGCCUCAGAUCAGGAGUGACAGGAUACAUGGCCAGGCUAUAUUUUCCAGCAGAUUAAGUUAAAAGCUGUGGCCCAAGACUCUGAAAUAUGAAGAAAAAAGAAGAAGAUGACAGGAUAUUUUUUCAAAGAAAUAUUUUCCAGCCAAAAGGUGCAGCAGAUCACUUCCAGGAAUUUGUUCUUGUUCUCUAUCAAAGUGCUUUAUGUGCUGCACCAAUGCUGGUCUGGCAGCAGCUGGCCAUGUCCCAGGAGCUGAGGAUGGGGCUGACCCGGAGAGAUGGACUGAGCCACUCCCCCAGGCCCUCCUUUGCAGCUCUCCGCACAGGACUGCAGCCCGGCCUCAGCCACCUGCACUGGGUGGUCUGUGAAAAGGAGAAUUCACGGAGACAGUAG
rnacentral:lncRNA from 12 species